rnacentral:rRNA from 1 species
UACGUAGGCAGCGAGCGUUGUUCGGAAUUACUGGGCGUAAAGAGUGUGUAGGCGGUGCUCUAAGUUCGGUGUGAAAUCUCCUGGCUCAACUGGGAGGGUGCGCCGGAAACUGGAGUGCUUGAGCGUGGGAGAGGAAAGCGGAAUUCCUGGUGUAGCGGUGAAAUGCGUAGAUAUCAGGAGGAACACCUGUGGUGUAGAGCGGCUUUCUGGACCAUAGCUGACGCUGAGACACGAAAGCGUGGGUAGCAAACAGG